UACGGGGGGGGCAAGCGUUGUUCGGAAUUACUGGGCGUAAAGGCUCGUAGGCGGCCAACUAAGUCAUACGUGAAAUCCCCAGGCUUAACCUGGGAACUGCGUGUGAUACUGGAUGGCUUGAAUUCGGGAGAGGGAUGCAGAAUUCCAGGUGUAGCGGUGAAAUGCGUAGAUAUCUGGAGGAAUACCGGUGGCGAAGGCGGCAUCCUGGACCGACAUUGACGCUGAACGGCGAAAGCUAGGGGAGCAAA
rnacentral:rRNA from 1 species